rnacentral:rRNA from 1 species
UUGGCUCAGUAACACGUGGUUAACCUGCCCUAAGGUGGAGAAUACUCCCGGGAAACUGGGGCUAAUGCUCCAUAGUGGAUAUGUCCUGGAAUGGUAUAUCCUCGAAAGAUCCGUCGCCUUAGGAUGGGACUGCGUCCGAUUAGGUUGUUGGCGGGGUAACGGCCCACCAAGCCAUUGAUCGGUACGGGUUGUGGGAGCAAGAUCCCGGAGAUGGAUUCUGAGACAUGAAUCCAGGCCCUACGGGGCGCAGCAGGCGCGCAAACUUUACAAUGCGAGCAAUCGUGAUAAGGAAACCCUGAGUGCCUGUCGAUGCAGGCUGUUCAUAUAUCUAAAUCAUAUGUGAAGAAAGGGCAGGGCAAGACCGGUGCCAGCCGCCGCGGUAAUACCGGCUGCUCGAGUGAUGGCCACUAUUACUGGGUUUAAAGCGUCCGUAGCUUGACUGUUAGGUCUCUUGGGAAAUCUUCACGCUCAACGUGAAGGCGUCUAAGAGAUACCGGCAGUCUUGGAACUGGGAGAGGUAAACCGUACUUCGGGGGUAGGAGUGAAAUCUUGUAAUCCUCGAGGGACGACCUAUGGCGAAGGCAGUUUACCAGAACAGCUUCGACAGUGAGGGACGAAAGCUGGGGGAGCAAACGGGAUUAGAUACCCCGGUAGUCCCAGCCGUAACAAUGUGCGUUAGGU